AUACGGAGGAUGCGAGCGUUAUCCGGAUUUAUUGGGUUUAAAGGGAGCGUAGGUGGAUUGUUAAGUCAGUUGUGAAAGUUUGCGGCUCAACCGUAAAAUUGCAGUUGAAACUGGCAGUCUUGAGUACAGUAGAGGUGGGCGGAAUUCGUGGUGUAGCGGUGAAAUGCUUAGAUAUCACGAAGAACUCCGAUUGCGAAGGCAGCUCACUAGACUGUUACUGACACUGAUGCUCGAAAGUGUGGGUAUCAAACAGGAUUAGAUACCCUGGUAGUCCACACAGUAAACGAUGAAUACUCGCUGUUUGCGAUAUACAGUAAGCGGCCAAGCGAAAGCAUUAAGUAUUCCACCUGGGGAGUACGCCGGCAACGGUGAAACUCAAAUGAAUUGGCGGGG
rnacentral:rRNA from 1 species